UUAAGCGACUAAGCGUACACGGUGGAUGCCCUGGCAGUCAGAGGCGAUGAAGGGCGUGCUAAUCUGCGAUAAGCGCCGGUAAGGUGAUAUGAACCGUUAUAACCGACGAUACCCGAAUGGGGAAACCCAGUGUGACUCGUCACACUAUCAUUAACUGAAUCCAUAGGUUAAUGAGGCGAACCGGGGGAACUGAAACAUCUAAGUACCCCGAGGAAAAGAAAUCAACCGAGAUUCCCCCAGUAGCGGCGAGCGAACGGGGAGGAGCCCAGAGCCUGAAUCAGCAUGUGUGUUAGUGGAAGCGUCUGGAAAGGCGCGCGAUACAGGGUGACAGCCCCGUACACAAAAGCGCAUGUGCUGUGAGCUCGAUGAGUAGGGCGGGACACGUGGUAUCCUGUCUGAAUAUGGGGGGGACCAUCCUCCAAGGCUAAAUACUCCUGACUGACCGAUAGUGAACCAGUACCGUGAGGGAAAGGCGAAAAGAACCCCGGCGAGGGGAGUGAAAAAGAACCUGAAACCGUGUACGUACAAGCAGUGGGAGCACAGGUUUACCUGUGUGACUGCGUACCUUUUGUAUAAUGGGUCAGCGACUUAUAUUCUGUAGCAAGGUUAACCGCAUAGGGGAGCCGGAGGGAAACCGAGUCUUAAUUGGGCGUUAAGUUGCAGGGUAUAGACCCGAAACCCGGUGAUCUAGCCAUGGGCAGGUUGAAGGUUGGGGUAACACUAACUGGAGGACCGAACCGACUAAUGUUGAAAAAUUAGCGGAUGACCUGUGGCUGGGGGUGAAAGGCCAAUCAAACCGGGAGAUAGCUGGUUCUCCCCGAAAGCUAUUUAGGUAGCGCCUCGUGAACUCAUCUCCGGGGUAGAGCACUGUUUCGGCUAGGGGGCCAUCCCGGCUUACCAACCCGAUGCAAACUGCGAAUACCGGAGAAUGUUAUCACGGAGACACACGGCGGGUGCUAACGUCCGUCGUGAAGAGGGAAACAACCCAGACCGCCAGCUAAGGUCCCAAAGUCAUGGUUAAGUGGGAAACGAUGUGGGAAGGCCCAGACAGCCAGGAUGUUGGCUUAGAAGCAGCCAUCAUUUAAAGAAAGCGUAAUAGCUCACUGGUCGAGUCGGCCUGCGCGGAAGAUGUAACGGGGCUAAACCAUGCACCGAAGCUGCGGCAGCGACGCUUAUGCGUUGUUGGGUAGGGGAGCGUUCUGUAAGCCUGUGAAGGUGGCCUGUGAGGGUUGCUGGAGGUAUCAGAAGUGCGAAUGCUGACAUAAGUAACGAUAAAGCGGGUGAAAAGCCCGCUCGCCGGAAGACCAAGGGUUCCUGUCCAACGUUAAUCGGGGCAGGGUGAGUCGACCCUAAGGCGAGGCCGAAAGGCGUAGUCGAUGGGAAACGGGUUAAUAUUCCCGUACUUGGUGUUACUGCGAAGGGGGACGGAGAAGGCUAUGUUGGCCGGGCGACGGUUGUCCCGGUUUAAGCGUGUAGGCUGGUUUUCCAGGCAAAUCCGGAAAAUCAAGGCUGAGGCGUGACGACGAGGCACUACGGUGCUGAAGCAACAAAUGCCCUGCUUCCAGGAAAAGCCUCUAAGCAUCAGGUAACAUCAAAUCGUACCCCAAACCGACACAGGUGGUCAGGUAGAGAAUACCAAGGCGCUUGAGAGAACUCGGGUGAAGGAACUAGGCAAAAUGGUGCCGUAACUUCGGGAGAAGGCACGCUGACACGUAGGUGAAGUGAUUUACUCAUGGAGCUGAAGUCAGUCGAAGAUACCAGCUGGCUGCAACUGUUUAUUAAAAACACAGCACUGUGCAAACACGAAAGUGGACGUAUACGGUGUGACGCCUGCCCGGUGCCGGAAGGUUAAUUGAUGGGGUCAGCGCAAGCGAAGCUCCUGAUCGAAGCCCCGGUAAACGGCGGCCGUAACUAUAACGGUCCUAAGGUAGCGAAAUUCCUUGUCGGGUAAGUUCCGACCUGCACGAAUGGCGUAAUGAUGGCCAGGCUGUCUCCACCCGAGACUCAGUGAAAUUGAACUCGCUGUGAAGAUGCAGUGUACCCGCGGCAAGACGGAAAGACCCCGUGAACCUUUACUAUAGCUUGACACUGAACAUUGAGCCUUGAUGUGUAGGAUAGGUGGGAGGCUUUGAAGUGUGGACGCCAGUCUGCAUGGAGCCGACCUUGAAAUACCACCCUUUAAUGUUUGAUGUUCUAACGUGGACCCGUUACCCGGGUUGCGGACAGUGUCUGGUGGGUAGUUUGACUGGGGCGGUCUCCUCCUAAAGAGUAACGGAGGAGCACGAAGGUUGGCUAAUCCUGGUCGGACAUCAGGAGGUUAGUGCAAUGGCAUAAGCCAGCUUGACUGCGAGCGUGACGGCGCGAGCAGGUGCGAAAGCAGGUCAUAGUGAUCCGGUGGUUCUGAAUGGAAGGGCCAUCGCUCAACGGAUAAAAGGUACUCCGGGGAUAACAGGCUGAUACCGCCCAAGAGUUCAUAUCGACGGCGGUGUUUGGCACCUCGAUGUCGGCUCAUCACAUCCUGGGGCUGAAGUAGGUCCCAAGGGUAUGGCUGUUCGCCAUUUAAAGUGGUACGCGAGCUGGGUUUAGAACGUCGUGAGACAGUUCGGUCCCUAUCUGCCGUGGGCGCUGGAGAACUGAGGGGGGCUGCUCCUAGUACGAGAGGACCGGAGUGGACGCAUCACUGGUGUUCGGGUUGUCAUGCCAAUGGCACUGCCCGGUAGCUAAAUGCGGAAGAGAUAAGUGCUGAAAGCAUCUAAGCACGAAACUUGCCCCGAGAUGAGUUCUCCCUGAGACUUAGAGUCUCCUGAAGGAACGUUGAAGACGACGACGUUGAUAGGCCGGGUGUGUAAGCGCAGCGAUGCGUUGAGCUAACCGGUACUAAUGAACCGUGAGGCUUAACCUU
rnacentral:rRNA from 1 species